rnacentral:rRNA from 1 species
UACGUAGGGAGCAAGCGUUGUCCGGAAUCAUUGGGCGUAAAGCGCGCGUAGGCGGCCUUGUAAGUCCGUUGUGAAAGUCAAAGGCUCAACCUUUGAAAGCCGAUGGAUACUGCAAGGCUGGAGUCCGGAAGAGGCGAGUGGAAUUCCUGGUGUAGCGGUGAAAUGCGCAGAUAUCAGGAGGAACACCAAUGGCGAAGGCAGCUCGCUGGGACGGUACUGACGCUGAGACGCGAAAGCGUGGGGAGCAAACAGG